rnacentral:rRNA from 1 species
ACUCAAAGGAAUAGACGGGGGCCCGCACAAGCGGUGGAGCAUGUGGUUUAAUUCGACGCAACGCGAAGAACCUUACCUGGGUUUGACAUGCAUUAGAUAGGUGAUGAAAAUCACCUUCCCUUAGGGGCUAUUGCACAGGUGCUGCAUGGCUGUCGUCAGCUCGUGUCGUGAGAUGUUGGGUUAAGUCCCGCAACGAGCGCAACCCUCGCCCUCUGUUGCCAUCAGUUUGAGCUGGGCACUCUGAGGGGACUGCCUCGGUGAACGAGGAGGAAGGUGGGGAUGACGUCAAGUCCUCAUGGCCUUUAUGUCCAGGGCUACACACGUGCUACAAUGGUUGGUACAAAGGGUUGCUAUCUUGUGAAAGACUGCUAAUCCCAAAAAACUAAUCUCAGUUCGGAUGGUAGGCUGCAACUCGUCUACCUGAAGCUGGAAUCGCUAGUAAUCGGAGAUCAGAACGCUCCGGUGAAUACGUUCCCGGGCCUUGUACACACCGCCCGU